rnacentral:rRNA from 1 species
AGAGUUUGAUCCUGGCUCAGGACGAACGCUGGCGGCGUGCUUAACACAUGCAAGUCGAACGAUGAACUCCAGCUUGCUGGGGGGAUUAGUGGCGAACGGGUGAGUAACACGUGAGUAACCUGCCCCUGACUCUGGGAUAAGCGCUGGAAACGGCGUCUAAUACCGGAUAUGACAAUCGACGGCAUCGUCUGGUUGUGGAAAGAAUUUCGGUUGGGGAUGGACUCGCGGCCUAUCAGGUUGUUGGUGAGGUAAUGGCUCACCAAGCCUACGACGGGUAGCCGGCCUGAGAGGGUGACCGGCCACACUGGGACUGAGACACGGCCCAGACUCCUACGGGAGGCAGCAGUGGGGAAUAUUGCACAAUGGGCGCAAGCCUGAUGCAGCAACGCCGCGUGAGGGACGACGGCCUUCGGGUUGUAAACCUCUUUUAGUAGGGAAGAAGCGAAAGUGACGGUACCUGCAGAAAAAGCACCGGCUAACUACGUGCCAGCAGCCGCGGUAAUACGUAGGGUGCAAGCGUUGUCCGGAAUUAUUGGGCGUAAAGAGCUCGUAGGCGGUUUGUCGCGUCUGCUGUGAAAACCGGAGGCUCAACCUCCGGCCUGCAGUGGGUACGGGCAGACUAGAGUGCGGUAGGGGAGAUUGGAAUUCCUGGUGUAGCGGUGGAAUGCGCGAUAUCAGGAGGAACACCGAUGGCGAAGGCAGAUCUCUGGGCCGUAACUGACGCUGAGGAGCGAAAGCAUGGGGAGCGAACAGGAUUAGAUACCCUAGUAGUCC